UGUGUAAAUUACCAAAGCUUUUAUUAUGCUAACACAGUUCUUCAAUUUCCAAGUUUCUAAGAUUCUCAUGUGGAAGAUGACAGUGAAACUCCUUUAAAAAUAUCUCCAGCAGCAAGUAUUCGAUUCCUGUAUGUUCUACAAAUACCUAUCUUCUUGUGUCUUCGGAGAGAACUAACUUUGAGGACACUCACAUAAAGCAAUACUGAGGUCAAUAGAAGCAAUGUAGGCAGCUGAUUACUGUCUUCACUGUAGUUUCAGGGGCUUGGAAUAAACUGGUUACUAGGAGGGACUUGAAGUUGCUUUUUCCAUCAGUGUAAGAGGGAAAGACUCGGAAAUGAUUUCAUAUUGAAAAAACCUGGUUGCACACUGGAUUGUGAAGCAGAAAUAAAUGGACCCAUGUGAGAUGCUCUUGCUGCUGCAGAUCUCAGAGUAAUUA